rnacentral:lncRNA from 1 species
UAUUUUAUCAAACAUAACAUACAUAGCACAAUGUAAACCUUGUUGAAGGGAUAGUCAUAACAUUAUCUUUGAUACAACAUGGAAGCCACAAAUCAUUGAGCACAUCUUAAACCACUCAAUUUAUUAAAAAAACAAGCUGUACAAAAGUUUUUAGUGAUAAAUAAAAUACUCAAGAACAUAUAACAAGUGCAAUUUCUUACUUUUUUGUGUAUAAUGACAAAUUCGCAAAAAUAAAGUCAUUAAACCGGUUUAACGACUCAAAGAUCGUCAAAGUUGCUCGAAGGAAUUCAAAUAGGUUUGAGGAUAGACGAUUCUUAACCCAAAAUCAUCAAGCAUUCCGUAUGCAGUGUUGUAAGGGAGUAUUCUUAAUUAACUUCUGGCCACCCCAGAGUCCGUACCUCAACCCGCCGGACUUCAGCAUUUGGUGACAAGUGAAGUUCAAACCCUGCUGCUCCUCUUAGGUGAGCCACAGCUAAAUAUGACAUGUAUGAACAGCCUUCCAAGUUCACAUGGAGGCUUUCAUUGCCGGCCAAGUUAAUAAAUAAUGUUCUUUUUUUGAGUGUGCGUAAAAAAAAUUAGGUGCACGCCAAUUAUAGCUCCAUAAAGCCAUUGUUAUGUUGGUUUAUUAAAAAGAAAUUAUUCCAAAAUUUAUUUGUUUCAAAUGUCGUAUUAUUGGUUGUGAUACUUCGACAAACAGUGACAAUAGAGGCAAAAAGACAACGGAUUCCAGAUCUUCUCUGCACCCAACACUCUGUAAAGAAAGGUCGCAGACAUCUUGAAUUGCUCUGUUGAGCUUUUCCAUAGGCGCAUGAGGCUCAUCAACAGCGGUGAGAGCCUUUCCAUACAGAAAAGAAGUGGAGGACACAACAAGAUUGUCACUGAAGACUUCAUGAAAUUGAAGGAAAGGAAUACCAUGAGGUGAUGAAAGAGGGUUUGAAGCUCUGGUUAAAUGCUAAGUACCCCAAAGGGAUUACUGUUGUCAACAAGACUCAGAACCUGGAAAUAAGACAUUAACAACUCAAGCUUGGUGUAAGGAAAACAUCGCCGAUUUCUGCCCUUCAAACGUGUGACCCCCUCAAUGCCCUACUACUCGCCACUGGAUUAUUGAAUCUAGAGUUUUGUGGUGAGCAAGACUUGUUUAAUGCCCCACCAUAAUGUUGAUUCCCUCACAGGUUCCCCUCAGAAGGAGUGGACUGAUAUGCCCUGUGACUACGUCAGUGACGACAAUACCUUUAGGCCGAGACAGGAGGCCAUGGUUACCGCAAAAAGAGUACAUUUUGAGAAGGUGAUGUUUGAUUAAGUGUGAGUUCAUUUGACUUGAUUCAGAUUAAAAUGAAGUACAACGUGCAAAGUGGUGCAAGAUUGAUUCACUACCAGGUAUUACCCCGAAAGCAAGACAGUCUAAUGAUCCACUGAAAAGCGACAUUAAGCGAGGCAGUGAAAGAUAUAAAGGAAGUACCUAAUGAUCGUGAGGUUAGUGCGAAAGUGACGUAACUGACAAAUCCAUAUUUCCUUAUUUUUUAUUUUGAUCUGACUUUAUAAGCAAUACAGAACAUAUUAAUAGAGAUACAAUUUUAUGACUGACAAGUUUUUAGGCUGAUUCUGGCAAUGUAACUUAACUACAAAUGUAUCAAAAAUAUACAUUGGAAAAUUUACGUAAGUAACAGUAACGUCAAUUUUGCACUAGCUGCGUGGCACCACUCUUAAAAUGUAAAAGUUGGUACAAAAUCGUCGUAAUUGAAUGUCAAGACAAUAGACCAGGAUAAAAUUUACGAGGCAAACACGUCGUAAGUGACUUUUCUACAGGAAUCAUUAGCAUUUUGACUUUUUGUGUCAGGGACAUUAUUUAUUAACUAUUGUUGCAUAUCAUGACGUAUGGAGAAGAAAAAAAAACUUGUCAUAACAGAUUCUAUAUACAUUUAACAAACUUAUAAUUAAAGAAGGGAUCCGUGUAAACAAAAAACGAAGCAUAGCAAUUAGAAAAUGAAAAACGGUUGAUGGGUGAGUUCUUUCUUCUUUUUUGUUCAUUAUUUGAUCAGUCAAGGGUGUGUAACAUUUCCCUCUCAAAGAAGAAUUAUCGCCUAUCUUUGAUGUAAAUUGAUUUAAAAAUGUGAAAAUAAAAAAAUAUAUAUAUCUGUGAAUUAAACUAUAAUUAUAACAUUUUAUUUUUACUACCGCUAUUUUCAAUAGCAGUAAUUCAUCUUUUCCCUCCAAAAGCAGCUGAUAUUAACAAUACUCUCAAUUCAGUAAUAAAAUGAGUCUUGCUCCUUCCUUUUCCUCGUAAUCAUACACAAAUCCAAUCUCUACUUAUAUUGAAUAUAUGAAAAAAUAGGUAGAACUACAAUUGAAUCAAAUCCUUUUUAGAAACGUGUUCCGUCAGGUUGUCUACCAGAUAAUCCAUCAACUAAUUGUAAAGAACAAAAAGACAAUAUGAGGGAGAAAAUAUAUUGGUGUCAAUUACAUACGGGGGCAUGGAAUUAUAAGUACAACGACUAUUUAUAUUCUUCUACAUAAUACUAUCAAGUGUUGUAAAUGUGUCGCCUGACUUAGUAAUUGAGUGUACGAGUCUGUAUAUUUACAUUGUACAUACAUACACAAACUACGCGUUUUUCUAAUAAGAAAAUAUAAAUGAGGUCAUUCUAAAUGUGACCCCUUUAUUUGAGAUGAAAAAGUGACCCCAUUACUUUGAAGAGGAGGAAGAACAACUCUUUUUGUUUCAAGUCCUUCGGAAUGUAUGAACAUAUCAUGUAGUUGCUUUAAUGACAUAUAAUAAGUAGAGCGUCCUUGAGAAAUUCAUAGUAAUUAACUUACCUCUAAC